UAAAGAAAUGUUAACUUCUUCCCCCACAAGUCAAUGUUAUAUACAACGUCUGAUUACUAUUAUCUGAACCAGGAAAGCACGCUGACCGGACUUAAACAUUAUCUGUGCUACCAGGCCCAGGCUCAGGCCUGGUCUGGAUCUUUGCAGACUAUAAGCAGUGAGCGAAUCGUCCGUCGAUAGUGGCAAGUAUCCACAGUGCAAUGCAACUAAAAAUAGAAGUGAACCAAAGAGCUGAACGCAGACUGGAAAGUUUACGAAGAUAUCAACAGCUGAUAAUUAGAAUCAACAAAAAAAACAAUUAAUGAACAAUGAAGACUGAGUAAAAGGAGCAUGUUCUUUGUUAACUGCCAAUAUCCGGCCUGGGGCGUGACAGUGGCCAUCAUGCUGAUCAGCGUUCGUUGACUAUGGCGCCACGGUACAUCCAGCCUUACCAUCCGAUUAGAACAUUUUCCCUCGACACGAGACUUUUGUGCGUGGUUAAGAAGAGAAUUAUGAAAAAUAAAGCGAUCUUGGGAGAAAUGUGAACUGAGUGGUCGCAUUUGUGUGAUGAGAAGCCUCGCGUUUCAACUAUUAUCUUUCGUCUAUUCUGAUCAAAUUAAAAAGAGUACGUGGUUCGUGUGAAAUGUAUCUUCGCACAUGAAAAAGUUGAUGUUCCCCAUAAAACGUUUGUAUCCAUGAGAGACUAGCAUAAAGUGACAGAGGCUGUUGUAAUGAUAGCCUAUGUUACUGGUAAAUAUUUUACACCGAUGAUUUUAAAUUUUGCGCAAUUUGGUUUUGUCAAGUUGGUACUCAACACCAGUGAAAGAUGGCGUAUUCAGAAAAAGAGAGCGGUUUUCAAGCUUUCCUGUGCUUACUUGCAAUUACUCGAUUUAUUAUGAAUAAAUAAUGUUUCUCUGUAUGUUUUGAACUUGGUCAGUUGAAUACUUUAUUUUUAUUUCUUUAGAUAGUAUAAUUGCGUCAUAUUGUGAAU